GAAAAUUUAGUUAAUUUAUAACAUCAGCUUGUCAAGCUGGAAUUACCCUAUACCCAGAGUAAUUUUCA
rnacentral:tRNA from 1 species